GAUGAAGAACGUAGCGAAAUGCGAUAAGUACUGUGAAUUGCAGAAUUCAGUGAAUCAUCGAAUCUUUGAACGCACAUUGCGCCCGUCAGUAUUCUGGCGGGCAUGCCUGUUCGAGCGUCAUUACGCCCCUCAAGUCCCCUGUGGACUUGGUGUUGGGGAUCGGCGAGGCUGGUUUUCCAGCACAGCCGUCCCUUAAAUUAAUUGGCGGUCUCGCCGUGGCCCUCCUCUGCGCAGUAGUAAAACACUCGCAACAGGAGCCCGGCGCGGUCCACUGCCGUAAAACCCCCCAACUUUUUAUAGUUGACCUCGAAUCAGGUAGGACUACCCGCUGAACUUAAGCAUAUCAAUAAGCGGAGGA
rnacentral:misc_RNA from 1 species